rnacentral:snRNA from 1 species
UGUUUCCACAGAAUAUACUACUAAAAUUAGAAUGCCGACAGAAGACUAGCAUGGUCCCUGUGUAAGGUUGAUACAUUCAAGACAUACUCCAUAUUUUU